UACAGAGGUCUCAAGCGUUGCUCGGAAUCACUGGGCGUAAAGGGUGCGUAGGCCGCACGGUAAGUCAGAGGUGAAAUCCCGGAGCUCAACUCCGGAAUUGCCUCCGAUACUGCCGUGCUUGAGGACUGGAGAGGAGAUUGGAAUUCACAGUGGAGCAGUGAAAUGCGUAGAUAUUGUGAGGAACACUAGUGGCGAAGGCGAAUCUCUGGACAGUUCCUGACGCUGAGGCACGAAGGCCAGGGGAGCAAACGGG
rnacentral:rRNA from 1 species